rnacentral:rRNA from 1 species
GAUGAACGCUGGCGGCGUGCCUAAUACAUGCAAGUCGAGCGAACAGACGAGGAGCUUGCUCCUCUGACGUUAGCGGCGGACGGGUGAGUAACACGUGGAUAACCUACCUAUAAGACUUGGAUAACUUCGGGAAACCGGAGCUAAUACCGGAUAAUAUAUUGAACCGCAUUGUUCAAUAGUGAAAGACGGUUUUGCUGUCACUUAUAGAUUGAUCCGCGCCGCAUUAGCUAGUUGGUAAGGUAACGGCUUACCAAGGCAACGAUGCGUAGCCGACCUGAGAGGGUGAUCGGCCACACUGGAACUGAGACACGGUCCAGACUCCUACGGGAGGCAGCAGUAGGGAAUCUUCCGCAAUGGGCGAAAGCCUGACGGAGCAACGCCGCGUGAGUGAUGAAGGUCUUCGGAUCGUAAAACUCUGUUAUUAGGGAAGAACAAAUGUGUAAGUAACUAUGCACGUCUUGACGGUACCUAAUCAGAAAGCCACGGCUAACUACGUG